GGUCUUGUAGUGUAGUGGUUAUCACUCGGGAUUUUGAUUGCUCCUGGAUGAAUCCGGAAUCUCAAACUUCCCGAAACCCAGGUUCGAACCCUGGCAAGACCU